AUACGGAGGGGGCUAGCGUUGUUCGGAAUUACUGGGCGUAAAGCGCGCGUAGGCGGAUUGAUCAGUCAGGGGUGAAAUCCCGAGGCUUAACCUCGGAACUGCCUUUGAUACUGUCAAUCUUGAGUUCGAGAGAGGUGAGUGGAAUUCCUAGUGUAGAGGUGAAAUUCGUAGAUAUUAGGAAGAACACCAGUGGCGAAGGCGGCUCACUGGCUCGAUACUGACGCUGAGGCGUGAAAGCGUGGGGAGCAAACAGGAUUAGAAACCCUAGUAGUCC
rnacentral:rRNA from 1 species